rnacentral:lncRNA from 1 species
CAGGUUCUUUUUUUUGUCAAUUCCUGAAAUGUUCUUUCGGUCACACAAAAAAGUGCUUCACAUAAAUUUGUGAUAGAGAAAUGUUAGGGGUUUGUGACAGAGAAAUGUUAGGGGUUUUUUUUUUUUUUUUUGCCCCAGGGUCUACUAAAUGUUUAAGCCGGCCCUGGUAAGAUUGCCGUGUAAAGCCUUAUGAAAAAACAGUGAAUUACCCAAAGUGCGUUGGGCUAGUGGUUUAGUGCUUGGAG